UGUAUUUGAGAGGAACGUGUAUUCUGCUGCUGUUGGGUAGAAUGCUCUGCCCGUCUGCUAGGAACAGGGUCUACUGUGUUAUGCAAGGCCUCUGUUUCCUUACUGAUGUCCUAUCUGGAUAUUCUACCCAUUGUCGAAAGUGUGUGAAUCAUGUGCAGCCAUGAAAUUCAGCUUGUUCUCAGGAGAGCCUUUAGAGGCAGAGCACCCCAGUUUUUCUUACCCCUUACUUGAUCCCAGAACAGUUCUUCUCUGAAUACGUCAGCACCCCAAAGGAACAAGAGCUCUGCAGAGAGUCAAGGCAACAUCUGCCAACCCCUUUAUUUUCAAGACGAAGAAGGUGAAGUCCAGAGCCAAAAGAAAGUGGAAAAUAUCUAGCUCCUUCUUAUUUACAAAUUUUUUAAUCUACAUACUAAUUAAUAAUAUAACAGGAGAAAAAGCAUGUUUUAAUUGACCUGUUAUUGCCAAUGCUGUUCUGUGUGCCUAUCUUGAGUGCAGCGGUGGGUACAUAAAUGUAAAGAGAACAAAUCUGGAAUGAACAAAAGAUUAUGACUGCAAGAGUCAUAAUGAUACAAGACCACCAGUCCCAAGUCAUUGCCUUGAUUGUCCUGAGUCCGCAAGAUAAUAUAAGUGCAUAA